rnacentral:rRNA from 1 species
GACGAACGCUGGCGGCGUGCUUAACACAUGCCAGUCGAACGGAAAGGCCCUGCUUUUGUGGGGUGCUCGAGUGGCGAACGGGUGAGUAACACGUGAGUAACCUGCCCUUGACUUUGGGAUAACUUCAGGAAACUGGGGCUAAUACCGGAUAGGAGCUCCUGCUGCAUGGUGGGGGUUGGAAAGUUUCGGCGGUUGGGGAUGGACUCGCGGCUUAUCAGCUUGUUGGUGGGGUAGUGGCUUACCAAGGCGUUGACGGGUAGCCGGCCUGAGAGGGUGACCGGCCACAUUGGGACUGAGAUACGGCCCAGACUCCUACGGGAGGCAGCAGUGGGGAAUAUUGCACAAUGGGCGGAAGCCUGAUGCAGCAACGCCGCGUGCGGGAUGACGGCCUUCGGGUUGUAAACCGCUUUCGCCUGUGACGAAGCGUGAGUGACGGUAAUGGGUGAAGAAGCACCGGCUAACUACGUG